ensembl:snRNA U6 U6 spliceosomal RNA
GUGCUCCCUUCGGGAGCAUAUAUACUAAAAUUGGAACAAUACAGAGAAGGUUAGCAUGGCCCCUACACAAGGAUGACAUGCAAAUUCAUGGAGCGUUCCGUAUUUUU